rnacentral:rRNA from 1 species
GUCGAGAAUCUUCCGCAGUGCGCGAAAGCGUGACGGAGCGACACCGCGUGAUGGAUGAAGUCCUUCGGGGCGUAAACAUCUUUUAUAAAGGAGGAAAUUUUUGACGUUACUUUAUGAAUAAGGGGCUCCCAAUCUCGUGCCAGCAGGAGCGGUAAUACGAGAGCCUCAAGCGUUAUCCGGAAUCAUUGGGCGUAAAGGGUGCGUAGGUGGUUUGAUUAGUCUCCCGUUAAAACUUCGAGCUUAACUCGAAAAGAGCGGGGGAAACGGUCAAACUAGAGUAUGUGAGAGGUGUGUGGAACUCAUGGUGUAGGGGUGAAAUCCGUUGAUAUCAUGGGGAACACCAAAAGCGAAGGCAGCACACUGGCACAUCACUGACACUGAGGCACGAAACCUAAGGUAGCGAAUGGGAUUAGAAACCCGGGUAGUCC